GCACGUAGUUAGCCGGUGCUUCUUCUUCCGGUACCGUCAUCCAUCCGAGGUAUUAGCUCGGACGAUUUCGUUCCGGCCGAAAGAGCUUUACAACCCGAAGGCCUUCUUCACUCACGCGGCAUGGCUGGAUCAGGCUUGCGCCCAUUGUCCAAAAUUCCCCACUGCUGCCUCCCGUAGGAGUCUGGGCCGUGUCUCAGUCCCAGUGUGGCUGAUCAUCCUCUCAGACCAGCUACCGAUCGUCGCCUUGGUAGGCCAUUACCCCACCAACUAGCUAAUCGGACAUCGGCCGCUCCAAUAGCGCGAGGUCUUACGAUCCCCCGCUUUCCACCGUAGUGCGUAUGCGGUAUUAGCACAUCUUUCGACGCGUUAUCCCCCACUACUGGGCACGUUCCGAUGCAUUACUCACCCGUUCGCCACUCGCCACCAGGGUUGCCCCCGUGCUGCCGUUCGACUUGCAUGUGUAAAGCAUGCCGCCAGCGUUCAAU
rnacentral:rRNA from 1 species